rnacentral:lncRNA from 1 species
GUUUUAUAGACAGCCUUAUCUUAGCAAAUGUUAUACUAAACUUAAAUGUCUUUCUAGGCAUCACAGUGUGUCUUCUAUUUUUUAAAAAAGCAUUUCUCCAAACAUCAUCCCAACUUACAUAAACACAGAAUCCUUAUUUCAUGAAGUACUUAUGAAUACAUGUAUUUCAUGGAGCAAGCAUAAUUUAGGAAAUGCUGAUUAAAAAAG